AACGAACGUUGGCGGCGUGCCUAAUACAUGCAAGUCGAGCGAGAAACAGAUCCUUCGGGAUCUGGAGUAAAGCGGCGUAAGGGUGAGUAAUACGUGGAUAACCUACCCCCGAGUCUGGGACAACCCAAGGAAACUUGGGCUAAUACCGGAUACGGCCCCGGAUACACCUGUAACCGGGACUAAAGCGAACCGAAAGGUCCGCGCUUGAGGAGGGGUCCACGGCCUAUCAGCUUGUUGGUGGGGUAGCGGCCCACCAAGGCUUUGACGGGUAGCCGGACUGAGAGGUUGGUCGGCCACAUGGGCACUGAGACACGGGCCCAACACCUACGGGUGGCAGCAGUAGGGAAUCUUGCGCAAUGGGCGAAAGCCUGACGCAGCGACGCCGCGUGGGGGACGAAGGCCCUCGGGUUGUAAACCCCUUUUCUGAGGGGCGAACACUGACGGUACCUCAGGAAUAAGCACCGGCUAACUCCGUG
rnacentral:rRNA from 1 species